GUCGAACGGAUUAUUCUUUAUAGCUUGCUAUAAAAGAUAAUUAGUGGCAGACGGGUGAGUAAUGCAUAGGAAUCUACCUAGUAGUAUGGGAUAGCCACUAGAAAUGGUGGGUAAUACUGUAUAAUCCCUGCGGGGGAAAGAUUUAUCGCUAUUAGAUGAGCCUAUGUUAGAUUAGCUAGUUGGUAGGGUAAAGGCCUACCAAGGCGAUGAUCUAUAGCUGGUCUGAGAGGAUGAUCAGCCACACUGGAACUGAGAUACGGUCCAGACUCCUACGGGAGGCAGCAGUGGGGAAUAUUGGACAAUGGGCGCAAGCCUGAUCCAGCUAUGCCGCGUGAGUGAGGAAGGCCUUAGGGUUGUAAAACUCUUUCAGUAGGGAAGAUAAUGACGGUACCUA
rnacentral:rRNA from 1 species